UAAAACCCUCCAGUUUAACACUGAAAUCCAAAAACCCCCCAAAGCGCCAAAAUGAAAUGAAAUCUUUUUUUUUUUGAAAAAACGAAAAACCCUCUCCAAUCCAAUCCUCUUCUUCUUAAUUUUCAGGGUUUCGAGAAUUCCAAUCUACGGAAAUCCCUUUCAAUGUCAAUCCCUAAAACCGUCGAUUCCUCGCUCCGGUCUGAUUCUUUCACUGCCAUCCUCACUGACCUCGAAAACGCCCCCCCCCCCCCCCUCUCUCUCUAUUUUUCUUUGUUUCGCUUACAAUUUGAAUUUUUGUUUUGUUUUGUAGGCGAAAAAGCUGAAGGAGAAUCACGCAUGGUUGGUGGAAACUCUUUCUCUAUAAUUCUAUUUAGGAAACCGAACGCGGCAUCACGAGUGGCUUUGAAUUAGGAGAAAAUCAAAGCUGUUUCUAAUUACAUUCACCUAGUCUCCUAUAUCAGUUGCCUGAUACCUUCUGGCUUUGUGUCAGUUCAUUAUCAGACACAUUUAUAUAUAGGGUUCCACGUUCCGUUUAUCACAUGGCAAAUAACAUGCUUCAUCUUUGCAUUUUUGAGUUGCGUGAAGGGAAUACAGGUUGCUGCUGCCACGGUGCUAUCUAUGUUGUUUAUCACAGCAUGUUAUAUUGAACCAAAUUCGUCUGGCAAUGUGUCCCUUGGUCUGGAUGAUAAGCAGAUCGCAGAUCUAAGGCACUCUGUAAAAAGGACAUUAGUUAAGCAGUUGGACCAGAAUGGAGAUUUAUUUGUUUCCACAGUCAAUCUGCUUCCUGCUGCAACACAUUAUCAGGUAUGUUUUAAUAGGGUUUAUUUCCUAUUUCUUUCCACUUAAAUUGGCUUCUGACACAGAACAUCACGAUCCAUUCAUACAGUUUUUUUGCAGUUAUCUCAAAUACUUACUCCCUCAUGGAAAACAUCUAGAUAGCUUUUAUUUUCUGAUAAAAUCUGGUAUCUCAAUAACAGCUUUCUAGCAUGUGUACAUUGUUUGCUUAUUGGUGGUUUCUCUGUUGCAGCCUUCGUAUCUUCUUGCUAUUUUUUCAGCAGCCUGAUCAAUUUAUACACUUCUUGUGAAUAUGACAAUAAAAUACCUUAUCGCGCAAAGGUGUCCUUUAAAUUUUCCUCCAUUUAUUUAUCAUUUGUUUUGGUUCUAUUGAUUCUGGUACUAUAACCUUAUUGACAUACAUGUUGUUGCUAUAUCAUUUGACUGUGACGAACCAUUUUAGGAUCUAAAAUACCUCAGGAAGCACUCACUAAUAGGUUAUCAUAUCCACAAUUACAUGUCCUUGCAACUUGCAGGUUGCCACCAGUUUGUUCAUUGUACAUGUGAUGGGGAAAUUAGUAAUCGGUAAUGCAGGAAGUUUAUCUGUAUCAUUGGUUGAGAAGAUCCGCAUCACUUUUAACAUGUGUGAUACUGUCUUUAAUUAGGCAAGCAAUUCUCUCUAUUUAGUCAAUUGUUUGAUGAGUUUUGUCCACUUUAAAGUUGAUAGUUCGUUGGCAAUCCCUUCAAGAGGUCUUUCUAGUUAUUUAUUAACAGCAAUACCUGAUUUUUGCAAUUCUAUUGUUUUAAAGUGACAUUGCAUCUUUUUAGUUUGGGUGCAACAGUUGAGCUGUCAGCUUGCCUUAUCUGAAUUGUUGGCGUUACAGGUAACUUGAGCAUGUGUUUCAUAUUUUUAUUUGAUUGUUUUUUUUAUGCGACUCUUAACUGAGGAAUCUAUUCGUCUAGGAUUGUGGUUGCUUGAAUGGAAAUGCAUUGCAAUGGAAUUUUUCCAAAGUCCGAUGUGAAAUCACUACAUGUUCCAUUGAAUCAUUAUGGUUUUAUUGUUGGAGAGACUAUUUAUUCUUGUUCUAAUUCUGAGGCUCACCUCCUUUGGUAGUUUGAUAAUUUGUGUUGGGUUCUGAUUCAUUUGAACCUGUAAGUUGAAUUCUUAUUGUUUUUCAAUAUCUUCUCAGUGAAGUAAAGGAACUAAAAGGUCUGAUGCUCACUGAUCUCUACUAUCACCUUCAAGGAAAGCUAGAGGGUUGUAAAAUUGGUCCUGGACCAUUUAAAGAACUCUCUUGGUAUCUGGUGGAAUCAAACUGUUUGCUGAGCUAUCAACACAAGUAUGGAGACAAACAUUAUGGAAAGAUUUUCACUUGUAUGAGCUCAUGCAUAUACGAUCAGAUUUGUGUUUGAAUAUGUGGGAUUAUACAGAUUGGAAAGCUUCUAAAGCAAUCACACAAACAAUGUUGGAGUGCUUGAAGGAUGCAAAUUCGAAGGUUUUAAGAGCUAGUUCAAAGCUUUCUGCUCUGGAAGCAUUUCUAACUGCUCUUAGUAUGUGGGAAGAUAAUUCACCAUAGAAUAAGGCAACUACUGAGGUGAAGAUUCCUGACCGACUCUGCUUUUCAUGCAAUGACAACAUGUGUAAAUCUCUUCUCACCACAGUAGAAUCGCUAGCUCCAGUUCUGGAUGCCUCUGAAUAGAUUAUUAAUUUCCUUGCUGCAAAAGCAGAAUUAAUUCUAAAUCUCAUGAGAUCUGCGCAAAGCAACUUAUCCAGUUCAAUUUGUACACUUUUCUUGAAAAUGUCAGGUUCUGGCCUCAAAUUGCUGAAUGGGUUCAGGUCAUCUGUGACUGGGGUUAAAACUAUAAAGCUUUUGCUCAUGCUACUGCUUCUUGCUUUGGAGAUUAGUAAAUCUUCAGAAAAGGAAUCUCAAGACUUUGCUGAAGUUUCAAAUGUUUGUCUAGGGCUUUUGCCUAUUCUGUGCAAUUGCAUUACAGCUACUGAGUGUAGUUCCCUCUCCUUGGCUACCAUUGACUUAGUACUGAGAAGAUUUUUGACACCUAACACUCGAUUCCCCUUCAUACAGAAACAUCUUCAAUUACCUCAUAAUAUUUUGAAUCUUCAUGAUCAAAGUUCUUUCUCAUCUGUUCCAAUUACAUUGAAGUUCCUUUUGACUCUUGCACGUGUGAGAGUAGGUGUUGAAAUGCUCCUUAGUGCUGGUUUCUUCUCAUCUCUUAGAGCUUUGUUUGCAUAUUCAUCGGGUGUUGUGCCUUCCACAAUUAUGACAAAUGAUAAGGUCUUCAUAAAGCAUUCUGACAAAACAGAAAAGCCUCAAACUAUCUGGAGCCUUGGCUUGGCAGUGGUCGUAGCUAUGAUUCACUCGUUAGGAGACAGUUCUUGUACUGAGAUUCUGAACAAGGUGAUUCCUUGUGUUUUAUCAGAGAAAGCUGAACUGAUUUCUUAUUAUAUCAGUGCACCUGAUUUUCCAUCUGAUAGUCGUGACAAGAAAAGACCACUGGCUCAAAGGACACAGACGUCUUUGAGUGCUCUUAAAGAAACAGAACAUACUCUCAUGUUGAUGUUUGUGCACUAGCUAAACAUUGGAGGUGAUGGGUUAAGGUCAUGAAAGAAAUGGAUUCAGAACUGCUGGAGAAAAGUAUUCAUCUAUUAGCCUUUAUUAGUCCAGGAACUCGCGCGUCGGAGAAUCUUCCAGAGGAGUUAGAAUCCUGCAAGAAACCAUCAUUUUUAAAAAGCAGGAAUGGAUUGUUUUCUCUUCCACCUCUCUGUUGUGCAUCAAAGCCCAUGUCUUCUGCUUUCUCAGUCAUCACUACUGCUACUGUAGGCAAGGGCCAUUCAACUAAAUUACCAAUCCAGCUUCUUCAGACUUGGUUGCCCUGCAUAUUUAUAGGAUCUCUUUUCUUCUCUUGAAAUACCUCUGUAUGGAAACAGAGGGUGCUGCUAAAAGAUCAGAGGAAGUGGGGUUUGCUGAUCUAACUCAGAUUCCUGAGCUGCCAAUGCCGGAGAUAUUGCAUGGCUUGCAGGAUCAGGCAGUUGCUAUUAUUCAGGAACUUUGUGGUUCAAACAAAUCAAGGCACAUCAAUUCUGAAAUCCAGUCAGUCUGUCUCUUAGUACUACCGAUAAUGGAGAUGGCCCUAUAUUUGGAGUUCUGCGUUUUACAGAUUUGUGGAAUAAGCCCUGUAUUAGGGCGUGUGGAGGAAUUUUCGAAGGAAGCAAAAUAGUUGUCAAAAGCCAUGGAAGUCCAUUCAUUCUUAAAAGCAUCAGUCACAUCCUUGAAACAUUUAACAUCUCUUGUCUAUCCCGUAUUGUUACAGACCGAAGGUUUAUAGGCGAACUUAGUUGGGUGAGUAACAGAUCAUGAAAAUCCUGUACAGAUAUCAGAAUUAGGCAUGGCCAAGAUAUUUGCAUGAUUACAACGUAAAACUCUGUAUAACAUCAACAUGUGACAAUAUCAGAACCACACAUCAUUGAUUAUCGCUUAGAUUUUUCAUGGUUCCUCUAGCUCAGUGAAGGAAUAUCACACAAAUAUAAUGAAGAUGGUGCCAAAUAUCAUCGAUCUGGCGUUGUUUCGCAGUCAUCCUCUUUCCAUGAUUUUAAGGUGCCCUGUUACAAGAUGUGCCUUCCAGCAAGGGAUUAUAAUUAUUCUUCGAUCAUGCACCGACUGCUGUAAUGAUGUAGGGAAAUGAAUUUUCCUAGGGGGACUGAACUUUCACUUUUGUGCUUGAAUGGGCCCUGCCCCCCUUGCAUGCGUGAUGCCACAAGGUAGCAUGUUUUUGUGGCGAGACAAUUGUUGAAAAAAAAAGCAACUGCAUAUUAUUGCAGCUCUUGACAAGAAAUGCAUCUUUGUCUCUCUUUUAUGCAGGAGGUAAUGCUAUUCAUCCAGGAACAGGUCUUAAAGUAAUUAGUUACUCGAAUAGUAUCUAUCAAUCAUGUCAUUGUCAUGUAGAAUUUACCUUGAUUGAUUCCAGAUGGAUAUCCAUGUCAGCAUCAUUUUUUGUAA